rnacentral:lncRNA from 1 species
AACAAAUACUAGAAAAAAUAAAAUAAGGAAAGAAAAAACACUACGGACUUAUCAAUAAGUUGAUCCCUACUCCUUGGCUCAACAAGACUUCUAAAGACUCAUUCUCCUCAAAGAACCUGAAGAAGUUAAAAUUAACAAAAAACUAAUUGAAGAAAAGCCUAAGCUUUCAAGAAUUUCUCUCAGAUUGAUUGUAAUUAGUGUG